CCACAGAGCCAGCUGGAGCAGAUGGGAGGCUUGGGUCGCUGGGGAUGACCCAAGCUUUCCGCCUGCCCUGGCUGGCUACUGAA
rnacentral:pre_miRNA from 1 species